CCUACGGGGGGCUGCAGUGGGGAAUAUUGGACAAUGGGGGCAACCCUGAUCCAGCCAUGCCGCGUGUGUGAAGAAGGCCCUCGGGUUGUAAAGCACUUUCAGUGAGGAAGAACGCCUGGUGGUUAAUACCCAUCAGGAAAGACAUCACUCACAGAAGAAGCACCGGCUAACUCCGUGCCAGCAGCCGCGGUAAUACGGAGGGUGCGAGCGUUAAUCGGAAUUACUGGGCGUAAAGCGCGUGUAGGUGGCUUGAUAAGCCGGUUGUGAAAGCCCCGGGCUCAACCUGGGAACGGCAUCCGGAACUGUCAAGCUAGAGUGCAGGAGAGGAAGGUAGAAUUCCCGGUGUAGCGGUGAAAUGCGUAGAGAUCGGGAGGAAUACCAGUGGCGAAGGCGGCCUUCUGGACUGACACUGACACUGAGGUGCGAAAGCGUGGGUAGCAAACAGGAUUAGAUACCCCGGUAGUC
rnacentral:rRNA from 1 species